AUUGAACGCUGGCGGCAGGCUUAACACAUGCAAGUCGAGCGGGGGAAGGUAGCUUGCUACUGGACCUAGCGGCGGACGGGUGAGUAAUGCUUAGGAAUCUGCCUAUGAGUGGGGGACAACAUCUCGAAAGGGAUGCUAAUACCGCAUACGUCCUAUGGGAGAAAGCAGGGGAUCUUCGGACCUUGCGCUAAUAGAUGAGCCUAAGUCGGAUUAGCUAGUUGGUGGGGUAAAGGCCUACCAAGGCGACGAUCUGUAGCGGGUCUGAGAGGAUGAUCCGCCACACUGGGACUGAGACACGGCCCAGACUCCUACGGGAGGCAGCAGUGGGGAAUAUUGGACAAUGGGGGGAACCCUGAUCCAGCCAUGCCGCGUGUGUGAAGAAGGCCUUAUGGUUGUAAAGCACUUUAAGCGAGGAGGAGGCUACUUUAGUUAAUACCUAGAGAUAGUGGACGUUACUCGCAGAAUAAGCACCGGCUAACUCUGUGCCAGCAGCCGCAGUAA
rnacentral:rRNA from 1 species